ensembl:lncRNA
AACAGUUUGUGGUUCCAUCUGCAGACACAGUUUGCUACAACCUCUGAUAUAACUCUGGCUAUUGGGCAGUGCACAAAUGGUUGUUUUUUUCAGGUUUGCCUUUGUAAGAAAAUGCAUUACCUUUGUGAUACUGCCUGACCAAACCAAAGCAUCCGUGGCCAAGAAGUGGAAUUCUUGAGAAUGGAGGGCAGAAAGCAGCUGAACUUCCCUAACCCCAAUUCUGCAGAGCUCCAGGGGUUCUCAUGGAAGCUGGAGGACAUACAAAGUGUUCCUGGUUCGUGGGAUCUGGACAACCUUGCUCAUGCUCCAAGUAAUGAGAAGUGCCAAAGCUGUUGCUAUUAAGGAGUAAUCAAGGAAUAAAAACAAAACAUAUCUGAAGGUGCUGUUCCACGGCCUUCCCUCCCCAUUAUUAUUUUACUGUCUUGACUGUGGAACAAGAUCACAAGUGAGCGCUUGUUUGCCUGACUUGGAUUUGUAUACUGUGUCCUCCUUAUUUAUAACUGGU